AAUCAACGCUGGCGGCGUGCCUAACACAUGCAAGUCGAGCGAGAAAGGGUAGCAAUACCUGAGUAAAGCGGCGCACGGGUGAGUAACACGUGGGUAAUCUGCCCUGGAGUGGGGAACAACACCGGGAAACCGGUGCUAAUACCGCAUACGAUCGCGAUGUCUUCGGAUGUUGCGAUGAAAGGAGCAAUUCGCUCCAGGAGGAGCCCGCGGCUGAUUAGCUAGUUGGUGAGGUAAUGGCUCACCAAGGCUACGAUCAGUAUCCGGUCUGAG
rnacentral:rRNA from 1 species